AUUGAACGCUGGCGGCAUGCCUUACACAUGCAAGUCGAACGAGUGGCGGACGGGUGAGUAAUGUCUGGGAAACUGGCUUAUGGAGGGGGAUAACUACUGGAAACGGUAGCUAAUACCGCAUACCAUCGGAUGGGACCAGAUGGGCUUAGCUAGUAGGUGGGGUAAAGGCCUACCUAGCCGACGAUCCCUAGCUGGUCUGAGAGGAUGACCAGCAAAACUGGAACUGAGACACGGUCCAGACUCCGACGUGAGGCAGCAGUGGGGAAUAUUCCGCAAUGGGCGAAAGCCUGACGCAGCCACGCCGCGUGAGUGAUGAAGGUCUUCGGAUUGUAAAGUUCUGUUGGUGAGGAAGCGUUACCCAAACAGGAAGCACCGGCGAACUCCGGGCCAGCAGCCGCGGUAAUUC
rnacentral:rRNA from 1 species